rnacentral:rRNA from 1 species
UACGUAGGUGGCAAGCGUUGUCCGGAUUUACUGGGCGUAAAGAGCGCGCAGGCGGUCGUGCAAGUCGCGUGUGAAAGCCCCCGGCUCAACUGGGGAGGGUCACGCGAUACUGCUCGACUUGAAGGCAGGAGAGGGAAGUGGAAUUCCCGGUGUAGUGGUGAAAUGCGUAGAGAUCGGGAGGAACACCAGAGGCGAAGGCGGCGACCUGGACAAGCACUGACACUCAACUACGAAAGCGUGGGGAGCAAACAGGG